rnacentral:miRNA from 1 species
CAAUGUGCCUGCAGUGCAACA